AUUGAACGCUGGCGGAAUGCUUUACACAUGCAAGUCGAACGGUAGAGGGGGCAACCCCUCGAGAGUGGCGAACGGGUGAGUAAUAUAUCGGAACGUGCCCAGUCGUGGGGGAUAACGUAGCGAAAGUUACGCUAAUACCGCAUACGAUCUAAGGAUGAAAGCGGGGGAUCGCAAGACCUCGCACGAUUGGAGCGGCCGAUAUCAGAUUAGGUAGUUGGUGGGGUAAAGGCUCACCAAGCCGACGAUCUGUAGCUGGUCUGAGAGGACGACCAGCCACACUGGGACUGAGACACGGCCCAGACUCCUACGGGAGGCAGCAGUGGGGAAUUUUGGACAAUGGGCGCAAGCCUGAUCCAGCAAUGCCGCGUGCAGGAAGAAGGCCUUCGGGUUGUAAACUGCUUUUGUACGGAGCGAAAAGGCUCUCUCUAAUACAGGGGGCUCAUGACGGUACUGUAAGAAUAAGCACCGGCUAACUACGUGCCAGCCGCCGCCGUAA
rnacentral:rRNA from 1 species